rnacentral:tRNA from 1 species
GCCGGAGUGGUGGAAUGGUAGACACGCACGACUCAAAAUCGUGUGGGGCAACCCGUGGGAGUUCAAGUCUCCCCUCCGGCA